AGCGAACGCUGGCGGCAGGCCUAACACAUGCAAGUCGAACGAACUCCUCGGAGUUAGUGGCGGACGGGUGAGAAACACGUGGGAACGCGCCUUUAGGUUCGGAAUAACUCAGGGAAACUUGUGCUAAUACCGAAUGUGUCCCUCGGGGGAAAGAUUUAUCGCCUUUAGAGCGGCCCGCGUCUGAUUAGCUAGUUGGUGAGGUAAAGGCCCACCAAGGCGACGAUCAGUAGCUGGUCUGAGAGGAUGAUCAGCCACAUUGGGACUGAGACACGGCCCAAACUCCUACGGGAGGCAGCAGUGGGGAGUCUUGCGGAAUGGGCGAAAGCCUGACGCAGCCAUGCCGCGUGAAUGAUGAAGGUCUUAGGAUUGUAAAAUUCUUUCGCCGGGGACGAUAAUGACGGUACCCGCAGAAGAAGCCCCGGCUAACUUCGUG
rnacentral:rRNA from 1 species